GGUUAUGGUUUAGCGGUAGAGCACUUGCCUAGCAUGUGGGAGGCCCUGGGUUCAAUCCUCAGCACCA
rnacentral:tRNA from 1 species